rnacentral:lncRNA from 1 species
ACCCUGAUGACCCUCUAACACGGACCACCAGCGCUGGGUGGGACGUCAGGUGUCAGCUCUUGGCAGUGCCACCAGCUUCAGUCCCUCUGUGGGCCUGCCCGGGGCUGCCCGUGGCACUGAAGCAGCUGCUUCUCGACUGCACGUGGACUGAGCUUCUCUGUGAAUUACGGUCCAGUGAACUGUGGUAGAGCUGGCCUGUUCUCCCUGGGCUCGUGAAGCAAACUGCAGGAAGACAUUAGGAAGAGUAUCAGAACUCUGAAGUAGAUGACCUGCAGCCACAUUAAUUAUUGAUUGUGUUAGAAGUCGAUGAGUUGUGCUAAAUUAAUCUGUGCCAAGAUUUGCUCUGGAAAUGAAAAGUGAAGCAGACAGCAGGUCUCCAUGUUUCCCCAGCAGUGGCACAGCGGCAACGGUGGAUGUUCUCUGCACAAAUCAGCUGGUACUGGAUGGUUUCUUCCUGGAAAAAUAAAUGGAACAUAAACUGAUGGAGUGUGGUAUCACUGAUUUAAGGAGAAGCUGGAGCAGAUGAUGAUGAAGCGAGGUCCUGAGCACCCCUUUCCCAGUGGAGGUACCAGGACAGGAGACUCACAAUCAUCUCCCAUCAUCACUUCCACCCCUGAGGG